UUGUAAUCCAGGGAUUCUAUCAACAACUGAAGAUGCCUUUGCUGUACCAUAUUCAAGUACUUUUCCUUUCAAGCCAUGCUAUCUCCUGGCAGUAUUUCUCUGUCACAAAGAGGACUUCACGUACCAGCAUUCAGCAGAGCAAUAAGGCUGUGGGUGAAAAAGGGGCUCCAUGUGGGUGCACUGCGUGUCCCCAGGAAGCAGCGUCAGUGCGGAGUGCUGGAAGACACUGGCUCUAAUGCAAGAUACAAAAUCACCGCGCAAAACAAACGCCUGCACAAGGAUCUCACAGCUUUCCUUCUUCAGUCAUCAGGGUGCAGUGUUCUUUCAUUUGCUGUGGCUGUUUCCAGCUGACGGCCACUGGCUGGGAGCUCUGUCUGUGUUGGGCAGUUGAGCAGAGUCGCUUCGUGGACAAAAUCCUGUAUGGGUCAGGUCACUGCUCCUAUGUGCACAGGCUUCAGCAAAGGCUGGGUUUGUCCCAGAGGAUCAGAGCUGCUCAAAGUGGGAGAGAACUCAGAACAACAAAUUUCCUCACCAGAUACCAGCGCCUGUCGCUGCUCCGGAUCGUGCUGUGAACACACCGCUCUUUCCUCACUGCUUAUGUGUGAUUUGAAGCAAUUCCGCAGCUCCGUUCGGGCGCUUCUCGCAGGGAUUUGGGAGUAAAUGCCAUUUGGGUUCGUUUCAUUAAGCACCUCAACUCAGGGAUUUGUUUCUAAUCCCGGAAUGAAAAUAUCUCCCUGCACUGAGUUUCUCAGGCAAUGUUUGUGUUCGCAAAUUGAAAAAAAACACCACUUGCUAGGAACAUCCCCGACUAUUUACUUACAUUUUUCUAUUUCCACGGACCUUUUCCCAGCAUUUCCUUCCCUCGCAGCCUGCCUGCAUCUGGCCACAGGAGGGAUUCAAACUGCGCGCAGACAAAUGGCUUAAAAUCAGAAGAGAAUUACUUGAGGAUAAGCAAAAAUUAGAAUAUUGAUUCAUUCCCUACUUGAGAAGGGAAAACGUUCUUUGCUAGGGCAAUGGUGUGGACUGAGCCUUAGUGAUGAGCUAUUACUUAAAAUUGAGCUUGAUUAUGCGCACACCUGAGCUACGGGUGAGCUUUGGAGCAGAACUGGUUGAUUUGGGUUUACCUUGGGUAGGUGCUGUCACGUCUCUCAUUGCACCUCUGGCAAGAAAUUAGGGUCAGGCAACAAGCAGCCAAACUCCCC
rnacentral:lncRNA from 1 species